WGGUGGUGCAUGGCCGUUCUUAGUUGGUGGAAUGAUCMRUCAGGUUAAUUCYGAUAACKAACGAGACCCCAGCCAUCUAACUAGCUGUAACUACUUUUGUAGUUUUUGUGUAAACAAGAACAGCUUCUUAGAGGGACUAUCUGUGUCAGCAGGUGGAAGUUUGGGGCAAUAACAGGUCAKUGAUGCCCUUAGAUGCUCUGGGCUGCACRCGCGCUACAAUGGUGCAUUCAGCGAGUAUAACCUUUCUUGAAAAAGAUGGGUAAUCUUUAAAAUGCAUCUCAGUUGGGAUAGAUGAUUGCAAUUGU
rnacentral:rRNA from 1 species